rnacentral:rRNA from 1 species
CAAUAGCGUAUAUUAAAGUUGUUGCGGUUAAAAAAAGCUCGUAGUUGGAUUUCUGCUGAGGAUGACCGGUCCGCCCUCUGGGCAGGUAUCUGGCUCAGCCUUGGCAUCUUCCUGAAGAACGUUGCUGCACUUGACUGUGUGGUGCGGUAUUUAGGACAUUUACUUUGAGGAAAUUAGAGUGUUUCAAGCAAGCGCACGCCUUGAAUACAUUAGCAUGGAAUAAUGGAAAAGGACUUCAACCUCUUCUGUUGGUCUGAGGAGGCUGUAGUAAUGAUUAAUAGGGAUAGUUGGGGGCAUUAGUACUUAACUGUCAGAGGUGAAAUUCUCCGAUUUGUUAAAGACUAACUUAUGCGAAAGCAUUUGCCAAGGAUGUUUUCAUUAAUCAAGAACGAAAGUUAGGGGAUCAAAGACGAUUAGAUACCA